UACGUAGGGUGCAAGCGUUAAUCGGAAUUACUGGGCGUAAAGCGCGCGCAGGCGGUUAUGUAAGACAGAUGUGAAAUGCCCGGGCUUAACCUGGGAACUGCAUUUGUGACUGCAUGGCUAGAGUGUGUCAGAGGGGGGUAGAAUUCCACGUGUAGCAGUGAAAUGCGUAGAUAUGUGGAGGAAUACCGAUGGCGAAGGCAGCCCCCUGGGAUAACACUGACGCUCAUGCACGAAAGCGUGGGGAGCAAACAGG
rnacentral:rRNA from 1 species